ACAAUUCACUCAUGUUUGAUUUCUUAAAGGUGAUGAUAUGUAUCACAUGUUUGAUUUCUCAGUUUGAGGUUAAGAAGGAGAAGUUACCUUUUCUGAAUUGUGACUCUUUAUUAGCUUGUUCUCUCAUUUGGAAAGGUAAUAAGAUCCUAACUAAUUCAUAUGUGUAAUCUAUUUGGCUGGAUGGCAUAGAUUCUCUUACUGCAUAGAUUCUUUUUCUUUUGGACUUCUUCAUAUGUGUGAUCUAUUGAGAAAUAUGUUGAUUUUUACAAAAGAAAAUGAAUUGAGAUGGCAAUGGAUGAAUGAAGGCAGGUGGGGAAGAUUUUUGCAUACGUGAUAGGAAUGUUAUUGUCUCUCUUAUAUCAUACUUUUUUUAUUUAAUUUUUUGUUUCUUUUGUUUUGCAAUUGAUAGUAUACUUUAAGAACAUUUACAUGUAUUGAUUUUCUGAAUUGAGGUAAUUCCUUUCUCGUACCAGUGUCUCGAAAUAUUUCUCUGCUAUGAGAAUGUUGGUGGGACUUGGAUUUCCAUCCCAAGGACCCUUUUAAGGAUGAUGGCAUGCUAGAUUUCAUUUAUUUAAUGUUUUUAAGCCUUUCUUUUUCACUUAAUUAGUGAUAUUGUUUAAGAUUGCCCCGCAUGUGCACACUUCAUAAUAAUAACUCUUUAGAUUUGAAUUCAAAUCUGUUUACGUAAAGCACACUUUUCCACCAUUCUAAUUGUUGACCUUGCUAAAAGCUCCUUCAGGUUAAAACUCUCCCUCCCAUUUUGCCUCCUUUAUCAAACAUUCAAACUUGCUUUUCCUCUUGUUUUUGGUGCUAUGAAUCUAUGCAGUAAGCAAUUUAAAAUCUACCAAAUGGUGAUCCUUUCCUAUCAAGCUCGUGAUGCAAAUGAGUCAGAGUCUCCUUUGGGUACAAGACAAUGAUUUGAUGGAAGUAACAUUUAGAAAGUUUAUGAUAUUGUUUUAGGAUAAAACUAUACCUAGUUUAUUAUGAAUUAAGUAACAUUUCUUUCUUUGUAACUACUUUUGUAAUGAGAUUACAUUCUGUAAUGAGAUUACAUUGACUUCUAGUNUAUCUUGAUGUGACNAUACAAUUGUUUCUCAA